rnacentral:lncRNA from 10 species
GCUUCCUGUAAGUUGAGGAAGAGAUGAGUCUCCUGUCAGUGAACCAAUGAUGGUGGAGAAGCUGGUUGUCCACCUUGACUCACUUUUUCCAGUGUUUUAAAAACUGAGAGUUACGGGAAAUUUUCCCCAUGCUUGCUGUUAAGCAGAGUGGGAAGAGGAGCAUUGUGGAUUUGGAAAUCUGAUUCUCCGAUCAUCUGCUCACAGAUUUUAAGUUUUCUGUGGCCCCAGGAAAUGACUCAUCCUCAUAUUUGAGUUCUGGGAUAUUGCUGGUAAUAACCUAAGCACUGUAUAUUUAUUUUUUUUUUUAUGGCAGUAGUGAAGCCAGUUUGCUUCUACACAAUCAUAAUGGAAACAAAAGUCUGAACAGAUGGAGAAACCAAGCUAAAGAAAGUUUCAGUAAUAUGAAUAAGAUCACAUAUAUAGCAGUGGAGCCAGGAUUCAAACCCAGGCCACUUAGCUCCGGAGACUGUGCUUUCAAUCACUACACUGUGUGAG